GCGGAAAUAUAAAUAUAUUAAUUUAUAUAGUUUUUACAAUCCUUUUCUAAGUAAAUCCAAAUAUUUUUGUCAGUUCUUUAUAGAAAUUCAAGUCAAAUAAAAAUUUAUAACCCGCCUAUGAACUGUUUCACAAUACCUUGUUAUAUUCUUAGAAGAAAUGCGUGUUAGAGGUAAUUUUCCAAGCGUUCUUCUUGUAUUGGUAUAACUGCGUAUUUGUCAUAAUCAUAUUCUAGAAUUAUGACAGAACCAGAAAGCAAUCAUUGGCCAAUUCAAAUGUCAAGUAAAAAUCGUGAGUCGUGAUUGGCUGUGACGAACGAAAAACCGAAGUUUAAUUCGACAUCGAUAGAAAGAUUUAGAAUGUAUUGCAAAGAACGCGGAUCUGAAAAUAGUUUUUGACGGAUAAACAUGUCAAAAAGUUAGAUUCUAACCGGCAUAUAUUAGUUCCACAAAAGAAUUUCCAAGUUAAAUUUGGGAUAUAUUAAAGUUCUUUUGUUGAGGAUAAUUAAUGGGUUGAUCAUUUAAUAGUGUAGCAGUUCUGUUGUUUAGUGAAAUUUUGAUUUAUACGCUCUUGUAAACUUAUGGUAUGGCGUAUUUAAUCCUUUAUGAAGCCGGUGAGCUGUUAUUACCUUUAUAGCUGGUUAUAAUAAUAUUGGUUAUGGUUACAUGGUAAUGGAUUAAACCUAAGUUUCCUGGAUUAGAAAACUAGAGGUAAAUUAGCAUUUUCCUGUUUGUUAUGGUAUAAUACCUACAUAAUAUCACCAUAGCAGUGGAAUUUUCCAGUCAUCCGUCGAGUGACGUAUGAGUGAUCUGUCAAAACUUUCCGAUGGUGAAGUAAUGUUGUGACAGAUGAAUAUUUUCAAAGUUUAAGGUAUAGUGACUAUUUUAAUUAAAAAUUUAGAUUCAAGGAUUAAAGUAAUUUUUUUUUGAUAAAUAUUAAUAAUUUUUUUAAUUUAAAAAUAAAAAUAUAACAAGUAAACUUUUGAUUGGAUGAGAAAGAUAUUUGCUUCCAUCAUUAUAAAAAGAUUGUUAAAUCAAAAUUGUGAAUUAACCAUAUAAAAAUUAAUUGAGAUAAAUAUUUUUGGAAUGAUAUUUGACAAGUGACGUAACUGACAGUUGUUAUUUUCAAGUUUCAGUAAAAAUAAACAUUUUUCCUUUUUAAUAAUAUAAAUGCAAUAUUUCAAAUGUGUCAGAUAUCAAGUCAAUAAACAAUAAAUUUGCUUAUUUUUUGGUGCACCAUAUCUAUUUUAUAGAAAGUAGAUAUAUUUUAGUCACAGGUAAAUAUCGCCAAUGUAACCUAUAAAACCUAAUGUUUGUUUUGUUUUUUUGACAGGAAAAGUUUUCAAUAAAUAUGUAAUUUUA